CAGCCGCCACGGUAAUACGUAGGGGGCAAGCGUUGUCCGGAAUUAUUGGGCGUAAAGCGCGCGCAGGCGGUUUUUAAGUCUGGUGUCUAAGUGCGGGGCUCAACCCCGUGACGCACUGGAAACUGGGAGACUUGAGUGCAGAAGAGGAGAGCGGAAUUCCACGUGUAGCGGUGAAAUGCGUAGAGAUGUGGAGGAACACCAGUGGCGAAGGCGGCUCUCUGGACUGUAACUGACGCUGAGGCGCGAAAGCGUGGGGAGCAAACAGGAUUAGAUACCCCGGUAGUCCCUGUCUCUUAUACAC
rnacentral:rRNA from 1 species